AUGACCUCUUCUACUUCUUCGUCCACGACACUCCAUCCACUGACCAAUGGCAACAAUGGUGAGAUAACAACCGCCGGCACAGCACCGCCAACAACUACUACCAAGGGGCCUGCACCGACUACAGUCAUGUCGAGCGUAGCGAACCUAGCGCAGCUCCUGCCGACGGGCACGGUGCUGGCAUACCAGGCGCUGUCCCCGUCCUUCACCAACCACGGCAAGUGUGAGACCUCCAACCAGUGGCUCACUGGGGUGUUGGUCACCGUCCUCGCCCUCUCGUGCCUCUUCUUCUCGUUCACCGAUAGCAUCGCCGUGACGGUAAGCUCUAUUACGGCUUCGCCACACCGCGCAGCUUCAACGUCUUCAACUUCUCCAUCGAGGAGGAGAGGAAGGAAUGGGAUGAUCUUGACCAGUUUCAGAGGCUCCGCCUCCGGCCGCUAG
rnacentral:rRNA from 1 species